rnacentral:rRNA from 1 species
AGUCGAGCGGAUCGAAUGGAAGCUUGCUUCCGUUCGGUUAGCGGCGGACGGGUGAGUAACACGUGGGCAACCUGCCCGUAAGACCGGGAUAACUUCGGGAAACCGGAGCUAAUACCGGAUAAUACCGAAGACCGCAUGGUCUUUGGUUGAAAGACGGCUUUGGCUGUCACUUACGGAUGGGCCCGCGGCGCAUUAGCUAGUUGGUGAGGUAACGGCUCACCAAGGCGACGAUGCGUAGCCGACCUGAGAGGGUGAUCGGCCACACUGGGACUGAGACACGGCCCAGACUCCUACGGGAGGCAGCAGUAGGGAAUCUUCCGCAAUGGACGAAAGUCUGACGGAGCAACGCCGCGUGAGCGAAGAAGGUCUUCGGAUUGUAAAGCUCUGUUGUUAGGGAAGAACAAGUACCGUUCGAAUAGGGCGGUACCGUGACGGUACCUAACGAGAAAGCCACGGCUAACUACGUGCCAGCAGCCGCGGUAAUACGUAGGUGGCAAGCGUUGUCCGGAAUUAUUGGGCGUAAAGCGCGCGCAGGCGGUCCUUUAAGUCUGAUGUGAAAGCCCACGGCUCAACCGUGGAGGGUCAUUGG